GGGGGUAUAGCUCAGUGGUAGAGUGUUUGACUGUAGCUCAAGAAGUGCUUGGUUCAGAUCCAAGUGCCCCCU